GAGCUGGUCGCUGGCGAUUCGCGACUGCGCGGCCGUCGUGGCCGGUUGCGUUUUGGAUUGCGUCAGGCGGCGGCGCGGCGCCGCUCCGGCUGCCC
rnacentral:tRNA from 1 species